rnacentral:lncRNA from 1 species
AAAUCAUUAACUCUUUUUUUUAAUCUUCUUACAAAUUAUAAUAACAAGUGAUAAAUGUUUAAAUACAGCGGAAUAUGAGAUUAAGCGGAAGACUUAAACAAAUAUAAAACCCAAAAUAAUACGAAAAUCCACAUAUACCUCUACCUAGAAACUGGUGUGACAACAUCCACGGACUACUAAGAUCACUACACACAACUGUUUGAAAGAAAGAAAACACUGUCUGUCUCGGAUACAAGAUAUAACAGAACAUAAUAAAAGAUAGAGGAGACGUCGGGCCUGUGGACGCCUGCAAGGCUACCUCAGUGUCUCGGUGGACUGAAGGCUGGCUCCCCUAAUGCUGCUGACCAAGCGCUGCUUCUGUAUCUACACAUAAGUGCAGAGUGUAGCAUCAACACAACCGACUCCAUGUGCUGGUAAGUAUCUGGCCUAAACCCGGAGAGGUAGUGACGAGGCUAGGAUCAGACUCCAGAUAAACCUGUGCAGUUAUAUAAUAUACAAAGGAGACAUAAACAGGAAAUAACAGUUUAAAACGGAGGGGGAAACAUAUCAAUUCUAUCAGAAACAUAAUAAAGUAUGAAAGAACACUCGAGGUCUAUAACAAUACUGUUUCCGUGUGCAACCCGAUCCCUUAUAUUUAACAUUGUUGCGGUGUGCAACCCGAUCCACAUAUAUAACUGUUACGGUGUGCAACCCGAUCCAAUAUAAUAUCUGUUUCGGCGUGCAACCCGAUCUAAUAUAAUAUCUGUUGCGACGUGCAACCCGAUCUAAUAUAAUAUCUGUUGCGGCAUGCAACUCGAUCCAUAUAUAUAUAAUAAUGUUGCGGUGUGCAACCCGUUCCACAUAUAUAUAGUCAACUAUAAUCAUAAUCAACCAUCCCGGCAAGGGAUCAACAAUAAACUACACUAUCCCGGCAAGGGAACUCAACAGUACAAGUAUAUACGUCCCGGUAAGGGAGAAUCAGCUAUAACCAAUCUUAACUCAACUCCUACUUGUCACACCUUCUUUUUCCUACACCGCAAGGAGUAUAAGAGAGUUUUUUCCAAUUUAAGUGACAAUUGAAAUGAGAUUAUUUAUAUUAAAAUCAGAGUCGCCACUUGGGAUAAUUUAUGGUGUUCCAAGUCACCGGUUUAAAAUCCCGAAUCGAAGAAAGAUUGACUCUAUUGUACAGUCUGCGGACACUGAAAUCUAGGUAAGGAAUUAUGUUAACCCGAGAGAAGGUGUUAGGCAUUUCCGGAUUCCGUGGUUUUAGCACGGUCGCUCAACUGUUAUAAUUGGCUUAAUUACCUGAUUCUAAUACAUGUUUUAGCCUAUGGUACAAUUUUUACUUUAGAACCGCUUUUGAUUAAUUAUUUUUUAAGAAAGAUUCAACGUCAUCUAAAACACGUCUUGAACCACGUCACAUAAAUGCACCCGCGGUCCCCGACAUAUUUUAUCUAACAUUGUGAGAUUUGGAUUUGGGUCACAUAAAUGCACACCCGAAUUUAGGAAAAUAAUUUAAAUUACGUGCCUAAAGCAACUACGCAUUUUUAAAUUUGCGAGGGCCAUGGAAAUUCAACUAAAUGGCACGCCUCAAUUUUUAUUUAAGGAGAAGAUAUUCAACAAAGUGAACUAUGGAUAUUCAUAUUUAAAAACUAAUUUGAAACUAAGUAUCACAACUACGCCACGGGAACCGAACCCAUAGUUGUGAUGUUCUAAUUACAUGCCUAAAAGCAUUUUUCUACGAAUAUAACAGGUGGUAAAUCCAAAUCCUCGUUACUAUGUUCAGCCAAAAAACUAAAUACCUAAGCAACAGAAUUUAAUACUACUACACCUUUUCCUAUUCAUAAGUUUUCAUUUUACAUAAAUAAAGAUAGAGAUAGGAUAACAUUUAUAAGCUACAAUUUUUAAAAAAAAAACAGUAAGCAUCGUCGUUAAUGAAACAAAGCUAAUGAAAUACAGUUGUUUAUUUCCCUGUUUCAACAGGAUGGAAACAAAACUAAUGAAGUUAUUUGUUUACGUGAUCACCUACUCAUGAGGCGACGGAAAAGAAGAAGCAGCUACUAACAUCCAAAAUCAUCAAAAAUUAAUGACAAGAGCACAGACAGAACAUUUAGAAAUCAAAGCAAGAAAUGGACUAUAGAUUAACAGAUUCGGGUUUCCAUUGAAGCUUUUAAAAGAACGUACAUGGAUUUCCUGGCAGAGACCAAAUAAAGUUGCCGAAUUCCGAAACGGGGCUGUGAACUAUGAGCAGAACUAGCAAGCGGAACCUCAAACCAGCACUUCAAUGUCAGAAAGCACAAAACCGGGACAGAUCGUCGACCGGAAUCUCAGACGACCACGGAUUUCGAUGGGAACCUUAAACAAACAUCAGAAUAAACCACUGAAACUAGGUGUAGUCGCGAAAUAACACAAUGUCAAAAUCCGGCCAGCGAGAUAAGCCAUCUUUCGACCCUGGUUUUAUAAAAGACGAAGAUGGAAAUGGUCAUGGGUAGAGGAAAAACCGGCCGGAUCUAAAGAGUGAUAAGGCGAAGCAACCGCGGAGAGUUUCUGUCUAGAUCGGGAUCGGAUUCGGCGGGUUCUUCGAUGUCUCGCCGACGUUCAUGGCUGUCGUUCUCUGAAAGUGUGGAAGUCGUUUGGCUUUGUGAAAAGGGGUGGAGAAUAAGCAGUGACGGGCGAUGAUGGAAAUAUGGUGGAGCUGCUUAGGUCUCUUAGCUUUUUGGGGUUUAUAGGGUAGCUCUUCAUUGAAGAAUAAGAAUUAGGGGUCGUUUAGGGUGGGAGCGUUUGUUUUGUUGAGCUGCUGAAGGGUUGUUGUGUUGUUGUUGUUGGAAUUGGAGAUGAAGGUCGCCUACAGGUUGAUGAAGAAGAUGAAGGACAGGGAUGGGUCGUGUAUUUUUGUGUAUUGCGGCCCUUCAGAUCUUUCCUUCAAUUCGCUCCCUUUUGGAUUAAGAGUAGGUCUAUAUAGGUCUAAGGUAUAGGUUUAGAU